rnacentral:rRNA from 1 species
AGGUCACUGCUAUCGGUGUUCGAUUAAGCCAUGCGAGUCGUGAGGGGUAAAGCCCUCGGCGGAGUGCUCAGUAACACGUGGACAACCUACCCAAGAGUCAGGGAUAACCCCGGGAAACUGGGGAUAAUACCUGAUAGGCCAUGACAUCUGGAAUCGAGUUGUGGUUUAAACGUAAGGCUCUUGGAUGGGUCUGCGGCGGAUUAGGUUGUUGCCGGUGUAACGUACCAGCAAGCCUGUAAUCCGUACGGGUUGUGGGAGCAAGAGCCUGGAGAUGGAUUCUGAGACACGAAUCCAGGCCCUACGGGGCGCAGCAGGCGCGAAAACUCUACAAUGCAGGCAACUGCGAUAGGGGAACAUCGAGUGGCAUCCACCAUGGAUGUCUGUCCAAUCGUCUAAAAAACGAUUGUCAGCAAGGGCCGGGCAAGACCGGUGCCAGCCGCCGCGGUAAUACCGGCGGCUCGAGUGGUGGCCGAUAUUAUUGAGUCUAAAGGGUCCGUAGCCGGCUUUGCAAGUCCUAUGGGAAAUCCAGCGGCUUAACCGUUGGGCUUUCAUGGGAUACUACAUUGCUUGGGACUGGGAGAGGUAGGAGGUACUCAGGGGGUAGGGGUGAAAUCCUGUAAUCCUUUGGGGACCACCGGUGGCGAAGGCGUCCUACCAGAACAGGUCCGACGGUGAGGGACGAAAGCUAGGGGCACGAACCGGAUUAGAUACCCGGGUAGUCCUAGCCGUAAACGAUGCUCGCUAGGUGUCACGGCAGUCGUGAAUUGUCGUGGUGCCGUAGGGAAGCCGUGAAGCGAGCCACUUGGGAAGUACGACCGCAAGGUUGAAACUUAA